AUUGGCUGUUGGGAAGGACCAGGUGUUGACCAUUGAUGAGCAAGAGGAAGGAUUCCAAGAUGGCGGCUGCCCCAGAGUCUUCAUUCAAAGGAGCUCCCAAAUGAGGCUGCUGCUUGUGUGUUUGUCUCCAGGACAAGCUGCAGCUACUCCUUUCCUCUCAAGAUCAGCAGCUUGUGCUUCAUUCAGCCUGGCAUUUUGCGUGAUAUUCCCUGCAUAUAAGUUAAUAAACAGGGUGACAAUAUAUGCUCCUGAUGGACUCCUUUCCCAAUUUGGAACCAGGAAAGUCAAGGUCCUUGUUGUGAAUGUGUUGCCUGCCAUUUGGGUGAAUGAGUGCUGCCCACCAUCAGGCCAUCAGCCACUGCAGUCAAUAAUCUGGAAUUUCUUUUAUGUAUCCUGACUCCUCCUCUGCCUCUUUGGAACAAUUCACCUGAGAGGCUGCCUUCCAGGCUAUAGAACUCAGUACAGUCAUGUAAUAAAACAUAACUUUCUAC
ensembl:lncRNA